UUUGUUAUUCAGGUUAAAGUGGGAAGGAGCAGCGGGUCUGACGGGCAGCUUGAGUGAAGUGGAGCCUGCGGAGGAAGUACCGGGACUGUCAGGGUGAAACAAUCCUGGAGGGAAGCACAAUCACAAAGAAACUGGCAUCUUUCUAAAAGGCAGAUCCACCAGCCAUCAGUCCAAAACCACCAAAGGCUUCUCAAGCCAACAUUCCACCAUCUGCCUACAGUCCAGAGGUCCAUGCCACUAAAUUUGUACCAUGUAAGCUGCGACUUGCAACAUGAGAUCAUUUCCUCUCUUGUUAAUGUUAGUAAAUUGAGUUUAGUUAUACGCUGAUCCACACUGUCAUCUGGUGUGGCAAUAGCAGCAGCAUGGUGACUGGGACUGGAUGUUCCUGCUUCAUUGAGAGCCCAGUGUCUGGGAAUCGUCUUGCUUUGGUGUAGUGGUGGGUGCUAAUGGAUUGCCUUUUUGAGGUACAUGUACGUUUACAUUUGAAUGGUUUCAUUAUGUAUCUCAUAUUAUGGGAAUCUAAUGUUAUUUGUUUCCGUGUUGUAGAGCUCCUUGAUCAUUUGUGUAUGAGGGUAUUGGGGAAAUCUGACCAAAGAUCUGCUGUACAGCUGGUGGACUUUGAGGGUUAGAUUAGUUGCUGUAGUAGUUACUGUAUUAGUGGUUUAGUUUUUUUUGUUUUUUAUUUAGCUGUUUUCUUUUGAGCCAACUCUAUAUUCCUACAAGUGGGCAUCCUGUCAGCACGAUUGAGCACACUGACCAGUGUAUAGGUUGUGAGCUCCUCCUGCACUAGGUUGUGUUGUUCUGCCCCAUAAAUCCGAUCCGGAUGCUGUUAGAUAGGGUGUGACCCUUAAUGUAUUAUAUAAUGUUGCUUUUUAUUUGUAUAUGCCACAUUAAUUUUAUCACUUUUGUGAAUAACAAUCAAUCAGAUCAUUGUUGAAUGAUCAAAUAGUUGAUUACACCAUGUUCUGCUUUCACAAACUCUUAUUUUCACUAAGGUGUUUAGUUUAUUUGACAUGAGAAGGGAGACAAAAAAAUCCCACAUGACUACAGAAUCUCAAGGAUGACACAAUGAAGUCCAAGAUUUCCCAUUGUGAUCCAUGUUAAGAAAGAAAAUAGAUGUCUGUGUGUGGUCAUGACAAACACAUAACAAUCAUGUUGAUGUUUUUUUGUACAUCAGAUACAAUAA